rnacentral:rRNA from 1 species
CCGGCGACCGGCGCACGGGUGAGCAACACGUAUGCAACCUGCCCUCCGCAAGGGGAUAACCCGGAGAAAUCCGGACUAAUACCGCGUGGUACACCAGUGGGGCAUCCCACGGGUGUUAAAAGGAAGCGAUUCCGGCGGAGGAUGGGCAUGCGGCGCAUUAGCUUGUUGGCGGGGUAACGGCCCACCAAGGCGACGAUGCGUAGGGGUUCUGAGAGGAAGGUCCCCCACACUGGUACUGAGACACGGACCAGACUCCUACGGAAGGCAGCAG